rnacentral:rRNA from 1 species
AGAGUUGAUCCUGGCUCAGAACGAACGCCUGGCGGCGUGCUUAACACAUGCAAGUCGAACGCGAACGGUUCUUCGGAGACCUAGUAGAGUGGCGCACGGGUGAGUAACGCGUAAGUAAUCUACCCCGGCAUUCGGAAUAACUCAUCGAAAGGUGAGCUAAUACCGGAUACGUUGGUAACAAGAAAGGUGGCCUCUGCAUAUGCUACCGUGCUGGGAUGAGCUUGCGUACCAUUAGCUAGUUGGUAGGGUAAUGGCCUACCAAGGCGACGAUGGUUAGCGGGUCUGAGAGGAUGAUCCGCCACACUGGAACUGGAACACGGACCAGACUCCUACGGGAGGCAGCAGUGAGGAAUAUUGCGCAAUGGGGGCAACCCUGACGCAGCGACGCCGCGUGGAUGAUGAAGGCCUUCGGGUCGUAAAAUCCUGUCAGGUGGAAAGAAGUGCACGAUGGCUAAUAUCCAUUGUGUUUGACGGUACCACCGAAGGAAGCACCGGCUAACUCCGUGCCAGCAGCCGCGGUAA